CUUUUCUGUUGCCCCUUGUGGAGGAGGAUGAAGCCACGGCUUCAGGGGAGCAGCAGCAAACCUGAGCCGAUGGACGUCGAUCCACCAGAGAGCAGCGUCCAGCCCAUGGAGGUGGACAUCCCUCUAGAAGAACCACCCAUGGAGGUGGAUCCACCUCCAUCGAGGCAGGGCAGGCACCCCAACAUCGUGUCUGCCUGGAGACGCUGCUACAUCCAUUGGCAGUGCACCAGGGGCUCUCGAUUUCCAUCUGGAUGUUGAAAUGCCACCAUCCGCCAGAGAGCCCCUGCGCCAGCUGCUGCUCCCUACCGCCCUUUCUUCCCCGUCCUCCAUCCUCACCCUUCCCCAAGAGCUUUCACCUCUUCUUCCCCGAGCUCUGAGGAAAUGGGAACGACUGGCACUGCUGUCCUCUGAGCUGCUGCACCAGGACAGCAGGAGGAGUCCAGCAGACGGCCCCGAGCUCCCUGCGGCCUCCAGGCGGGGUCACAGAAGCUACAGAGGCGGCUGUUCCUUUGGAGAAGCAGAGGACUUUGGUUUGGAUGGGAAGAAGGGCUGAAGCACAGCAUGAAGGUCCAUUCCCGUGGCUCCACUGGGACUUUUGUUUCAGCAUCGGACCAUAACCAAUUUAAAAGGACAACACAAAAUAAUAACAAUAAAAACCUAAGCAAUUUCUUAAAAAAGCAAAACCAGUCCGUGCCUCUCCAUUUGGGUACCUGAGGGUCUGCCCGGGGACUGCCGUGUCCCCUCCGGCUCUCCCCAGUGGGAACGGCUCUGCCCCGCGGGGUGAGGGCCCAGCCCAGGCCUCAGCGCUAUUGAGGGGCCCGGGCACACGGCAGCCCAGGGCAGGCUGCGGGCACGGCCUUUGCUCGGCGCUGGGCACGGAAGGCCGAGGGGGGACGGAGGGCAGUGAGGAGCUCCCAGCACGGCCUCCGUCAUGAUGAAGAAAUAGCAAAACAUUCUAAGAGCAAUCAAAGGAACAUCAGGGCCUUGGGGCGGUUGGGCAGAGGCACAGGCAGUAUUUUCCUCUGUCCUUCAGCAGCAGGAACAACGCUGAAGGAACAGGCAGAACCCGCUGACCAAGAUGUGGCUGUGAGGCACCCAGCACUGUGCUUUCUCCAUCAGGGGACGGCCCACACCACACCAGGCCUGCCGGUGCCUGAGGGGUGCACUGUUCUCAGAGGGGGAAAAGGAUUUCUGCCCAGGAUUUAGCAGGGCUUAUGACUGAUGAGGACAGCUUUCCCCUUGACUUUCCACCAGCAGACCGCAGCUCACAUAAGACACGCAGACUGACCGAGCAGACAUGAGAAAUAGCAGUGUCCUCAGUCCAGAAACAGGGGGAAAAAAUGUGCUUCCAAAGCACAAUUAGUUCUGUGUCCAGCUCCAGCCAGCUCUUCACACAAGUGGUCACCAACCCUCUCAAAAUCAGGGAGCUGCUCAGCUAGCCCUCAGCAUGUAUCUCCUGCCCUAAAGCCAUCCAUCUCCUAAGCCUCUAAACACGCGAAUUAGAACACUAGAAAUAAAAAUAAAAAAGCACAUGGUAAGUUUUACAAGGUCAGUGCUGAGCAACUGCUUGCUAAAUAGCCCAAGUAAGGCAGGAAGAGAGGCACAUCACUGCUCUGAGAAAUCCUGGGGUCAAAGCUACAAGAUGUGA
ensembl:lncRNA